rnacentral:rRNA from 1 species
UACGUAGGGGGCAAGCGUUGUCCGGAUUUAUUGGGCGUAAAGAGCGUGUAGGCGGUUUGGUAGGUCCGUUGUGAAAACUCGAGGCUCAACCUCGAGACGCCGAUGGAAACCAUCAGACUAGAGUCCGGAAGAGGAGAGUGGAAUUCCUGGUGUAGCGGUGAAAUGCGCAGAUAUCAGGAAGAACACCCGUGGCUAAGGCGGCUCUCUAGUACGGUGCUGACGCUGAGACGCGAAAGCGUGGGGAGCGAACAGG